GCCAGCGUGGCAUAGUGGUUGAGUGUUGGACUGUGACUCUGGAGACCACGGUUCAAUUCCUAGCUUGGCC
rnacentral:tRNA from 1 species